rnacentral:rRNA from 1 species
AGAGUUUGAUCAUGGCUCAGAACGAACGCUGGCGGCAGGCCUAACACAUGCAAGUCGAACGGAUCCUUCGGGAUUAGUGGCAGACGGGUGAGUAACGCGUGGGAAGCUACCUUGUGGUAGGGAACAACAGUUGGAAACGACUGCUAAUACCCUAUGAGCCCUAUGGGGGAAAGAUUUAUCGCCAUGAGAUGUGCCCGCGUUAGAUUAGCUAGUUGGUAAGGUAAUGGCUUACCAAGGCGACGAUCUAUAGCUGGUCUGAGAGGAUGAUCAGCCACACUGGGACUGAGACACGGCCCAGACUCCUACGGGAGGCAGCAGUGGGGAAUAUUGGACAAUGGGGGCAACCCUGAUCCAGCCAUGCCGCGUGAGUGAUGACGGCCUUAGGGUUGUAAAGCUCUUUCAGCAGUGAAGAUAAUGACAUUAACUGCAGAAGAAGCCCCGGCUAACUUCGUGCCAGCAGCCGCGGUAAUACGAAGGGGGCUAGCGUUGUUCGGAAUCACUGGGCGUAAAGCGUACGUAGGCGGACUGAUCAGUCAGGGGUGAAAUCCCGGGGCUCAACCCCGGAACUGCCUUUGAUACUGUCAGUCUUGAGAUCGAGAGAGGUGAGUGGAACUCCGAGUGUAGAGGUGAAAUUCGUAGAUAUUCGGAAGAACACCAGUGGCGAAGGCGGCUCACUGGCUCGAUACUGACGCUGAGGUAC